rnacentral:rRNA from 1 species
AGGAGCACGAAGGUUGGCUAAUCCUGGUCGGACAUCAGGAGGUUAGUGCAAUGGCAUAAGCCAGCUUGACUGCGAGCGUGACGGCGCGAGCAGGUGCGAAAGCAGGUCAUAGUGAUCCGGUGGUUCUCCUGCGUUUGAAUAAAGCGUUGGUAGAGAUUGGCGCGAUGCCAGCGUGGCUGCCCCAGCGCGGCGGUAUAUUCCACCAAUGCUUUCC